GAGGGUAUAGCUCAGUGGUUAGAGUAUGUGCUCGGCAUGCAGGAGGUCCUGGGUUCAAUCCCCAGUACCGCCG
rfam:Camelus ferus unplaced genomic scaffold scaffold473, whole genome shotgun sequence.